AGAGUUUGAUCCUGGCUCAGAAUGAACGCUGGCGGCGUGCUUAACACAUGCAAGUCGUACGAGAACUCUUUAGCUUGCUAAAGAUAGUAAAGUGGCGCACGGGUGAGUAACGCGUGGGUAAUCUACCUCUGAAUCUGGGAUAACAUUGCGAAAGCGAUGCUAAUACCGGAUAAUAUCUCAAAACCAUAUGGUUUUGAGAUCAAAAAUGGCCUCUACAUGUAAGCUGUUGUUUGGAGAUGAGCCCGCGUACCAUUAGCUUGUUGGUAGGGUAAUGGCCUACCAAGGCAACGAUGGUUAGCUGGCCUGAGAGGAUGAUCAGCCACACUGGAACUGACACACGGUCCAGACUCCUACGGGAGGCAGCAGUGAGGAAUUUUGCGCAAUGGGGGAAACCCUGACGCAGCAACGCCGCGUGAGUGAUGAAGGCCUUCGGGUCGUAAAGCUCUGUCAAGUGGGAAGAAAAUGUAAAAUGUUAAUACCAUUUUUCACUGACGGUACCACUGAAGGAAGCACCGGCUAACUCCGUGCCAGCAGCCGCGGUAAUACGGAGGGUGCAAGCGUUAUUCGGAAUUAUUGGGCGUAAAGGGCGCGUAGGCGGCCUUUUAAGUCAGAUGUGAAAGCCCGGGGCUUAACCCCGGAAGUGCAUUUGAAACUAAAGGGCUUGAGUAUGGGAGAGGGAAGUGGAAUUCCUGGUGUAGCGGUGAAAUGCGUAGAUAUCAGGAGGAACACCGGUGGCGAAGGCGACUUCCUGGACCAAUACUGACGCUAAGGCGCAAAGGCGUGGGUAGCAAACAGGAUUAGAUACCCUGGUAGUCCACGCAGUAAAUGGUGAACACUAGGUGUAGCGGGUAUUGACCCCUGCUGUGCCGCAGCUAACGCAUUAAGUGUUCCGCCUGGGGAGUACGGUCGCAAGAUUAAAACUCAAAGGAAUUGACGGG
rnacentral:rRNA from 1 species